UUAACCCUUCCCUGCCUGCUCCCCGCUGCGCGCUGAAAGAGGAGCUGGUUUAGUCUGCUGAGCACGACGUUUUUAAUUGAAAAAAGAAAUAAUAAUUUUCCACGUUAGUGUAGGAAUCAUAGAUCAUUAAAAUAAAAUGAUAUACCAAUUGGGAACCCAGGUUUUAAAUGUCCAAGAAUAAUAGGACACGUGGGCCUUGUAAAAAGCAAGUCAUUUGGAAAAGACUCCUUCUUUGGACCCGAGAAGUGAAACCAGUUUGAAAGGAUGGGCCUCUUCUGUCUUGUUUAUGCUGGGUGACCGACCCUUUCGGUUUUUCCUGGAUUUGGAAGAUACGUUGGUUUAUUGUCAAGGUCCUGGCUUUUGUUUUGGUUUGUGAGCUGGAUGGCGUUUAUUUAUUUUUAAAAAAUAACCAAAUGCCUAAAUACAAGUGACGUGUUUAUGGUACAGGGAUUGUGUCACAAACCAAGAAAUAGAAUUAAUCCAAUCUUAUAUGGAUGUACACUCAUGAGAGCAAGAGAGAAUACAGUGUAAGUAAUAAAUACAUUUUAUUGUUUUGGGGGAAGGAGAUUGAAGGGGUCUCUCAAGAAGGGUAGACUGGAACUUGGGGAUGAGAUGUGAGAGUAUUUCAUUCUGCCUUAUACUUAAAAAGAUUUGCCUGCCAAUGUAAAAGUAGGAAGUGACAGGCAGAGGCUGGGGGAAGCCAACUGCAGGCUUAGAAGUGAGUGCUUGUGCUUGAAUUAUCUAGGUGGAUGGGAAAGGCGGUCUGGAAAAAUCAGAUGAUUCUAGAGCUUUCUGCACGAAGCUCUAGGGUGCGGGUCCAGCCUGGUUAGAGGCACAGCUCUUUCAAGCAAGUCAAGGGGGUGGAAGGGAUCAAAAGGGGCAUCUCUGACUUGCAGGCUAGGAUACUGUGCAUUAGUCCACCCUGUCUGUCUGAGUACCCAUAUUUGAGGAAUUUAUAGCUCUUUCUUUUUCCUUCAUAGCUCCACUACCAGGUGGUGGUCACCAGUGGUCACCAGAAAGUGAAGAGAUUUUUUUUUCCUGGUGGUGGGGAUUGAACCUAGGGCCUUGAGCAUGUUGAACGUGUGCUUUAUCACUGAGGCCUAGCAAAGGGAUUUUUAUGUGAGAUCAUCUUGGCAAGAAGCUCCUUUAUCAUCCUUAACCUCCAGGUCUCCAGGGCAACUGCUGCUGGGAUGUCAGUGACACCAGAUACUGUCCCUUAAAGGCUGGGCUGCAGCAAGGGCAGAUAAACAAUUUUGUAGUAAUAGUCACGUAGCAAGCUUAUUCUCAAAUGUGGGCUGGUUAGAAUGAUGUAAGUGUUUUUUUCCACUCUCUUCCACUUCUGGUUCCAGAAUUCUGGGCCUAGGACAUAGUCUAAGAAUGUACAUUGGGGCAAGAAUGGUGCAGGAACGCUGCAGGGUAGGACUCAAGGGGAUUGCCUUCUAGGCUUAGGGAAAAAGUUUUUCUUCUUGGCUUCCCUAGUCCAUACCACAGCUCAGCUCAGUUCCCGCCCCUCUUCUCCCUCCCCCUUCCUCUCCUCUCUUCCUUGCAGCUCUGUAAAGUGGUCUUAUUAUGUAAGUUGUGGUAGACACUGGCCCUUGCCUCCUCAAUUGUAGGUGCUAGCUCUCACAAUAACAACAAAAUGUAUUUAUUACUUAUAUUUUCUUCCUCACUGUCAUGCAUGUAUAUCCACAGAAAAUUGGAUUAAUUCUAAUUAAUGCUACCCAUAGUUAAUCUUUUGACCACAAGAAUACAGUGAGGAUGACAUCCAGAGACUUCUAAGCCUUGGUUCUACCUGGGUCUCUUAGAGCCUUCAAUCCUGGAACAUUCCCUCGAGAACCAGCCACUGCCCUAGGAGAAGACCAAGCACAGAGAGGGGCCAGAAGUAGGUACUGCAGUCAAGACCCUACUGAGCUCCCAGCCAGCUUCCGGACCACUGCCAGCCUGUCUUGGUUGGCGAGGUUAUAGAAUCUUCAAUGACUCCAGCCCUAGCCAUCAUUUCAGUGCAAUAACAAGAGAUCCUGAGAGAGAACUGGCUAGCUGGAUCCUGUUGGAGGUGGAUUCCUGUUGGGGAGAGACUGUCUUCCAUUUCUCCACUCUUCAGCAGAUUUGUCAAGCUGUUCUAGUGGACUGCCUUGGGGACUAACAGCCAGAGGAGCAUCCAAGGCCUAUCCUGGCCCUUGGAGUCCCCAGCAGCAUCACCUGUGUGCAGAGCUGUGAUCUGCAGGCCCUGCUUCCUCCCUUGACUUCCCCUGAGGCAUAGCUGCUUCUCGACCUUGAAGAGCUCUGGGCAGAAGUGGUGACACCCAAGAUGUCCUGCUCGCAUGUGUUUCUCAGAGAGGGCUGCUGCCUCAAGUAUAAGUCUGCCUCGCCUUUGCUCAGUAUCCCCAGUGUCAGCAGUCUGCACCAAGGACCCUGGCACUUUCCCCCAAGCCAUCAGCAUGAGGUGGAAUCACAUCCACAUCUGACAGCACCGGGCCAUUCCAACAACCAUUCCGACAGCCCUGAGAGCUACUCAUUAAGGGUCAGAAUGUGUGCUCUGCUGGGAUGCCUGGGGCUCUCCAGGGAGGGUCACUUUCUCGAGAAAAUGUCCACUUUACCCCAUCUUUCAGGGGCCCACUUCCUGACCAACAGGCUCAAGGUAAGUGACCCUCUGGCACUGAGUCUGGGCGGGCCUCCAAACCUCUGCUGUUUCCAACACAGAAGGGUCAUACGGAUUGUAAAUCUUGACUUUCCUUAAAGUAGUUUAACAGAAAGAAGACAUUGGAUCCUUCCUUAGGACAUCUUGGUAGUUGGAUUUUCACUGUCAUCCAAACUCAGGACACAGAAAAAUAAAGCAUUA